rnacentral:rRNA from 1 species
GAUGAACGCUGGCGGCGUGCCUAAUACAUGCAAGCCGAGCGAACGGACGAGAAGCUUGCUUCUCUGAUGUUAGCGGCGGACGGGUGAGUAACACGUGUAUAACCUACCUAUAAGACUGGGAUAACUUCGGGAAACCGGAGCUAAUACCGGAUAAUAUUUUGAACCGCAUGGUUCAAAAGUGAAAGACGGUCUUGCUGUCACUUAUAGAUGGAUCCGCGCUGCAUUAGCUAGUUGGUAAGGUAACGGCUUACCAAGGCAACGAUGCAUAGCCGACCUGAGAGGGUGAUCGGCCACACUGGAACUGAGACACGGUCCAGACUCCUACGGGAGGCAGCAGUAGGGAAUCUUCCGCAAUGGGCGAAAGCCUGACGGAGCAACGCCGCGUGAGUGAUGAAGGUCUUCGGAUCGUAAAACUCUGUUAUUAGGGAAGAACAUAUGUGUAAGUAACUGUGCACAUCUUGACGGUACCUAAUCAGAAAGCCACGGCUAACUACGUG